GGACCUACACCCAGCUUCCCAAAGACCGUGAGCUCAGGUCUGUAUGACCCGAAGCAGAGCUCACAGUGGAGCUGCAGUGUGGGAAGGGGCCCCCACCCCCUAGGCCUGUGGGACAACCAAGUUGGAGGGUGGCUUCCCAGUCAAGGAGACCGAACAUUUGGGGGCCAAGGAGUCAGCUCUGAGCUGAAGGGGAGCCCUGGAAGCUUUCUCCCUGUACUGGUGCCACCCAGUGUUUCAGCUUGGCCCUUGAGUCAUCUUCCUGGCCUCUAGUUCUGUGCCCAGAGCCCCUCCAGGCUGACCGGAGGCUGCUAAAGCCUCCUUAGGCUCAGAGCGAAAGUGUCACAGACCCUGGCUCCACCCAAAGCCUCGUAGGCCUUGUGGAAAGGACUCAGGACCUGCAGCCCAGGCGAGGUCACAGGCCUGUCAACAAAAGCAAGUUAAGCGGGCAGAUGUGGCAGAUGGUGCCGGCUCAGAUUGAUUUUUCAGAGAAUACAAAUUCAGACUCUUAGCAGGGAGCCCCUAUUCAGCUGAGGACAAGGAAGCAGGGAGCCAUGAUUGGAAGAAACACCAUUGAUGCAGCUGGGUCUUCCAAGUCAGCCAGGAGCCACUGUCCACCUGCCAGCCUAGAUCUGCACAGAGCAGCCCACAGGCCAGGCCACCGCCUUCUGACUUCACAGGGCCAAUUAGACAGCUGCCUCUCUGCAGCCACUUCCUGCAAGCGCUCCCACACAGAAGCAUUUCACUGGUUAAAAAGAAGUGCCAGUUUCUUUGAAAGGGUAAAUUAAAGUGUAAAUACAUGCAUCACCCCUGCAGGAC
rnacentral:lncRNA from 1 species